rnacentral:rRNA from 1 species
UACGGAGGGGGCUAGCGUUGUUCGGAAUUACUGGGCGUAAAGCGCACGUAGGCGGCUUUGCAAGUUAGAGGUGAAAGCCCGGGGCUCAACUCCGGAAUUGCCUUUAAAACUGCAUCGCUAGAAUUGUGGAGAGGUAAGUGGAAUUCCGAGUGUAGAGGUGAAAUUCGUAGAUAUUCGGAAGAGCACCAGUGGCGAAGGCGACUUACUGGACACAUAUUGACGCUGAGGUGCGAAAGCGUGGGGAGCAAACAGG